UCGCGAGCACGAAAACCACUGCGAGAUAAGUUGUUGGACACACCUUUGCAAAGUGAUCUGUAAUUUCAAACGAUUCGAACUAGUAUUCAGCGAGGGGUAUAGGUAAAGUUUACGUUCAAAACAUAGGAAAAUUAAAGGGCUGAUGUAGAGUGCAGCUUAUCUAUUCCUGGAAACAAUGGUGAUGUGGAAGAGUUUCUUUGAAUGAUAUCUGUUCAUGGUUAAGUAAGUAGCAGUAACAGAUAUAGUGCACAUGAAGGGUGGGUGUGUCCUGUGUUACGGCACAAAGCAAACGUGCACAGCAAGGGUGUCGCUAACUGCACGAGUGACAACCAGGAUCUGGCAACUUUCGGCUGUGCUGUCGACUGAGCUCUUACCUGAAGCUUCUGAGCCCCGGGUGGCUGGUGUUAACAUUCACUGAACAGAAGAGCAAACGAAAGCAGAAAAUGGCGGUCAAUGGCUGGACAAUGAAAGUCAUUCAGUUGCUGCUUGAAGAGUUUGAUGGAAGAGCCAAGUUUGGACAAUUCAAGAGAAGGCUGUAUCAAGAAUACCUCGUGAAGGGUGGAAUCGCUCGUGUUUUAGAUAGGCUCUACGACAGCAACAGGUUCUUGGUCUUUGAAAAGUAUGAGCAGGUGAAAUAUGUUUCAGUCGCCUGGGAGGAUGCUAUUAUCUGCUGUGGAUACCGAAAGCGAGGAUGGGACACGUGCGUUAAAGGACUGUUUCAAAUUCCACAUCUGCAAGUUCUUCAUCACUGGUAACUGCGUAUAUGGUUCCAGAUGUUUGUUUGGGCACGACCUCGAGAACGAGGCCAACUGGAAUGUGUCUGACAACCUGGGUCUGUCAUCGUUUUCAGCCGAACAAAUCCGCACCAUCAUAUUUCGCAGCCAUCCAGUUGUGUGUGUGAACUACAACACGGGAGGCUGUGAUGACGAUGACUGUCCAGACCUUCACGUCUGCUCUCGAUUCAUCCUACAGAAAUGUACAGCAGGAGCCCGUUGUAAUUUUGGACAUUCUUUUCGAACGACUGAACACAAUCAGUGGAUUCUGGAGACAUUUUAUGUGGAAGAUUUGAAUGAUGAAGAAUUGAAAAGGCGCGUCCUAGUAACAAAUAUCUCCAACACUGACAUCAGCCACGAUCCCAAAUGACACCAGCAACAUCUUCGUUAAGUGUCUUUAGUGGUGCUAAAGCAGAAUCAUCAACAUCCUCACUAUCAUCAAUAGACACAGAAGAUUACAUCCUUAGUGUCUUCAUGUUUCUGUUGAAGGAUUUAGGCGGGAGAGCUAAAUUUAACACAUUCUUGACCAAGAGGUGAACUCUGCAGGGACUUAAGAGAGUAGACAUCAUUGAGUGGCUGGAGGACAACAGUGACCGAUUCCUCUUGCAUGAAAGUGAUGGUGAUGUGAAGUUUGUUUCUGUUCACAACAGACGCGCCAGGGUGUGCUUGAGAUACAACAACCCUGGUGGUUCCAUGUGUGACAAUCAGUUUUGCAAGUUCUUUCACAUCUGCAGAGAUCUCCUAACUGACACCUGUAGCAGGACCAGAUGCCAUUUAAAUCAUGAUUUUUCCUCAUGGCCAAAUGCCAAGAUAUGCUCGGAUCUGAACUUUCAGCAGUUUUCAGACAAGGAGAUUUGUAAGAUCAUUCUGUGUAGUCAUCCUGUCGUCUGCGUGAAAUAUAACGAAUCAGGCUGUCAGCUGAAUGAGUGUCCGGACCUCCACGUUUGUUCAAAGAAUAUCUUAAAUCAGUGUGCACGUGGAGACGGCUGUAGGUUUGGCCACACAAUAAAGAAUUCGGGAGAACACAACUCGUAUGUGUUGAAGGCUUUUGGAAUGGACACUUGGCAAGAACAAGUCCUGCGGAAACUUGUCAUUGUCAGCAAAAGAGAACACCCAGAGCAUCUACCAUGUCCCAGCUGUACACCAACAGCUGGACAUUCGUCAGUCAGGAAAAAACGAAUAUACCCGGCACCGCACGAAAUCUAUUGGUGUCAAAGAUACUGAUCCUGGCGAGUAUGAAUACCUGUGUGAAAUAUACACCUGGAGAGGUAUGUGUCCCAAAACUCCGAACUGUCCACACUACCACAGUCCUGAUCGCCUCCCUUACCUGUGGCUGACUAGGAAUCAGGAGGAUGGACAAUGGCGCAGAGUCCAUUCAAGUGUGAACACAGACUUCGAGAAAGUUUCUGUUGCCUUGACGAUGUUAGGUCAUUUCAGGUAAAACAUUUAUAAUGUGGGGAGAAGAUAGACAAAGCUUUGUUUACAGCUGGCAACAUAACUUCUCUACAAAGGCAGACGGACUAACAUACUGUAGGACUUGGGAUAUUGUGUCUUUAAGCAUGUGUUCUGUAAGUAAUUGCUUUUUUGUAUCUAUACUGUUAGAAUAUCGGUAAUUUAAUGUUUCUUUUUGUGAGUGCGUACAUGUGUUUAUGUAAGUAUACAUAUGUUUUGUGAGUGUAUACAUGCGCUAGUUUGUGUAUUUGUGUAUAUACAUACGUUUGUGUUAGCUUGUGUAUGCAAGUGUUUGUUCUGGUGAGUGUAUACACACGUUAGUGCUUAGUACAUAUAUGUGUUUGGGUGAGUGAAUGUAGGAGUUUGUGGGUACUUCCAGUAUAACACACUAAAGAAUUUUUACUUAGAUGAGCAAAAUGUGUUUAAUUAUUAACUAAUAUUCUUGCCUUCCCCUGGUCCGAAGUUUAAUAUACCUGGAGUACAGAAUGUGGACUUCCAGUGCCAUGUCAGCCAAAGUCGGAGUACGCCAGUCAGUUAAGCUCAGGCGACUGUCGACGCCAUCAUAUGUGACUGCAACACCAGGAACUCCUCUCAAGCUUCUACACUCAGUGGGUGUGGUAUCGGCAAGAACAUGAAGGCAACUACACCCCCUUCUACCCGGGAACCUUGCAGUACACUCUGGAAGAGAAGUAUUGAAGGGACAGCAGAAGUAUUAUUUUGAGUUUGGAGAUUUACGCCUGAUGGUCAACACUCAAAGCUCCCCGAUAGUUCAAACCAACCUCGACACACAUCGAACAACUUGUGUCAUCCGAAGACCUGUUUUAUGGCGGCUACAUCCAAGACGCCAA